GACAGAGGGUGCAAGCGUUGUUCGGAAUUAUUGGGCGUAAAGGGCGCGUAGGCGGCUACGUAAGUCAGAUGUGAAAGCCCAGGGCUCAACCCUGGAAGUGCAUCUGAUACUGUGUAGCUUGAGUCCUGGAGAGGGUGGUGGAAUUCCCAGUGUAGAGGUGAAAUUCGUAGAUAUUGGGAGGAACACCGGUGGCGAAGGCGGCCAUCUGGGCUGUAACUGACGCUGAGGCGCGAGAGCGUGGGUAGCAAACAGG
rnacentral:rRNA from 1 species